rnacentral:rRNA from 1 species
GUGGGGAAUUUUGGACAAUGGGCGCAAGCCUGAUCCAGCAAUGCCGCGUGCAGGAAGAAGGCCUUCGGGUUGUAAACUGCUUUUGUACGGAACGAAACGGUCCGGGUUAAUACCCUGGGCUAAUGACGGUACCGUAAGAAUAAGCACCGGCUAACUACGUGCCAGCAGCCGCGGUAAUACGUAGGGUGCAAGCGUUAAUCGGAAUUACUGGGCGUAAAGCGUGCGCAGGCGGUUUUGUAAGACAGUCGUGAAAUCCCCGGGCUCAACCUGGGAAUUGCGCUUGUGACUGCAAGGCUGGAGUGCGGCAGAGGGGGAUGGAAUUCCGCGUGUAGCAGUGAAAUGCGUAGAUAUGCGGAGGAACACCGAUGGCGAAGGCAAUCCCCUGGGCCUGCACUGACGCUCAUGCACGAAAGCGUGGGGAGCAAACAGGAUUAGAAACCCCUGUAGUCC